rnacentral:tRNA from 1 species
GCGUCAUUGGCUCAGGGUAAGAGCGUCUGCCUAGGGAACAGAAGGUAGCUGAUUGGAUUUUAGCAUGAGGCA